GACGAACGCUGGCGGCGUGCUUAACACAUGCAAGUCGAACGGAAAGGCCCUGCUUGCAGGGUACUCGAGUGGCGAACGGGUGAGUAACACGUGGGUGAUCUGCCCUGCACUUCGGGAUAAGCCUGGGAAACUGGGUAUAAUACCGGAUAGGAGCCAUUUUUAGUGUGAUGGUUGGAAAGUUUUUUCGGUGUAGGAUGAGCUCGCGGCCUAUCAGCUUGUUGGUGGGGUAAUGGCCUACCAAGGCGGCGACGGGUAGCCGGCCUGAGAGGGUGGACGGCCACAUUGGGACUGAGAUACGGCCCAGACUCCGACGGGAGGCAGCAGUGGGGAAUAUUGCACAAUGGGCGCAAGCCUGAUGCAGCGACGCCGCGUGGGGGAUGACGGCCUUCGGGUUGUAAACUCCUUUCGCUAGGGACGAAGCUUUUUGUGACGGUACCUAGAUAAGAAGCACCGGCUAACUACGUG
rnacentral:rRNA from 1 species